UUUAGUUACAGGUGCCUCAUUUUUUUUUUAUAAAAACAAAUAAAAAUUUUCAACAUUGAAGUUGCUGUUUAGUGGAUAGGUGAGUGCGCUGGAUCUUGUGUAUUUUAUAUAUAUAUAUAUAUAUAUAUAUAUAUAUAUAUAUAUAUGAAUCGGGGUAGCCCCCAAAAUAUUGGGACAUAUAAAAAAAGACAACUCUGUUCUGCAGAGUAGCUGUUGACAUUAUAGUUGCGCAGGAACUUUGUUGACUCUAGAGAACCUCGGGCAAAUCGCACAUCCCCGUGGCGGCGACUUUGCAUGCGGAUAUCAUCCAUAUCAACUUUCAAUGCCAGUUUCUGCGACUACCAUGGUGACCAUGGGUAAUGGGGAAUCAGGGUUCCAUUCCGUACAGGGACCCUGAGAAACGGCUACCACAUGCAAGGAAGGCAGCAGGCGCGCAAAUGACCCACUCCCGACGCGGGAAGGUAGUGACGACAAAUAACAAUACAGGACUCUUUAGAGGCCCUGUAAUUGUAAUGAGUCCACUUUAAAUCCUUUAACUCUGAUCAAUUGGAGGGAAGUCUGGUGCAGAGCCACUGACCCGUGCGUGCUGCAGCUGAAACUCCACUA
rnacentral:rRNA from 1 species